AUGGAGAUCCCAGCCUCUCCUUUCCACAGCCUUUGCCAACUUCAGUGGCCCUAGAACACUCACUUUUUCAUGCAGAAGGAUUCCUGCAUCCUUUUAUACCUGGGGUGGAUAAAUUGGGUCCAGUCAUAUGUAUCAACUAUUAUUAGAGUGCAAUGCUGAGAGGAUUGUUAUGUUCAGAGGGAAAUUGUGCUGGGUUCUAUUAGUGAUGUCUGUCGUGGUCUGGGAAAAGGGCAGUGGCAGCAAAUAUUCUGUUGUAUUAUUUGCCAACCUUUCUCCUCUUCUCACAUAAAAAGAUUAUCUGGAAAAAUAUCUGCUAUUGUCAGGUUUGUUUGUUUGUUUUUUUUUGGUAUAAAUUUAAGGUAAUUUGCUUCCCUUACAUCACAUCUGCUCUACCAUCACUCUACUCUAUAAUUGUGGACUAAAGACCUGAUCAUCUAUUAAAGGAAUUUCUGGGGUCAGUGAACAGUUGUAGGAAAGUUGUGGGGAGAGGAAAGUAGUGGGUGCUGGUGGGUAGACUUUCCUUGAAUCCUGCCAUGAUUCCUUUUACAUCCAGUAAGGCUAAUCAUGUCCCUGUGUGUAAUAACAUGGGAGCCUUCCUUGACUGGAAGAGGAGAUUGACAGACUCAAAUGGCAGGCCAAGCAAAUGAUAUGAUGCCAGCCACUACGCAGAAUUUCUUAACAGGGUCGGUGGCUGCUAUUACUGCAUUGAAGAAGACACACAGCUUGCAAGAGCAGCCCAAGGAGUCUUGACCUCCAUACAGAAUGGGAAAAGCAUCUGACUGGGAAGAGACUGAGCUAGACAUACGUGAACCAUCUUAGAAGAGUAAUUAGAAGUAUGGGCUUUGGAAUAACACACACUUGACUUUGAAUUCUGGAUUUACGACUUAUAGUUGUGAGACUGAGGGUAAGUUGCUACUUCUCUGAUACUUGGUUUCCUCGUCUGUUAAAAUAGGAUAAUAACAUUUACCCACUUCUCUCUCUGGGUGAUGCUGGAGACCAUCUGACAUAAUGUGAAAUAAAAAAUGCCUGGCACAGGCAGUAGAUACUCAGUGAAUGUUAGCUUUUUAUUAUUCUUAGGUUGUGUUAUGGGUAUCAAUAGUCACUGCUUACCUUGCUUCUUCUGACAGGGUGCAAGCAAGGGCAAAAUCAUGGGUAUGACCUUUCUUGGAUGGGCAAAGGAGUCAUCAUGUUUUUCAUGCUGAGACUAUACCAAUUCCUUAAGUCUAAUGUUACCAGAACUAACAAUGAUUUACUUUUUUAAAAAGUGCCAUGAAAUUCAGAACAACUCUUAAUUGUGAGUCUCUUUCUUUAAAACAAAAAUUUCACCUAAGCAAAUGCUAAUAUUUCAAGAAAAUUCUUUGAGGGAUUUUAAUUGACACAUAUAAAUGCUGUAGUUCAAUUUGCAUUUAAAUAGGCAUUCUUAAUAUUUCCUUUUAAAUGGGCUUUAUUUUUCUCUUGUGAAACUAAAAAUUGAUUUCUUCUUUUUAGCAAAAUGUGUGCCUACUAGGGUUCAUGGUUAAGAGAUGUGGUACAGCUGUUCUUUUAUUUUUCCCACUCUCUGGAAAUAGCCUUACCAGAGCAAGCACAAGUGAACAAUAGAAAUAAUAUUUUUUUAAAAAAAUGUGUUUCUGCAAGAGAUUGAUUGGUGGUUUAACAAAGACUGACAUCAGCAUGACAUUCUCUCCAUGAAUCCACAAGGCUGCACAAAAAAAUCUCCCCUAUUUACAAGUAGAGUCAACCUUCCAUCUCUGAUUUUUGCUUGAUGUCACAGUGUCUUUCUUAAAAUACAUUGCAGGGACGGGCUUUCUUUGCCUUUCUAUACUGGGAUGGGAGAGUUCCCUGAGAAAGCCUCUGGUAGUGGAAUUUCGGGAAGUAGAGUCCUCAUCCGCAACUUAUUACCAAAGUAACUCUUGAACAGGUGUUUGGCACAUGUUCCCAGUCUCCUGAGAAUGGGAACCACAGUGCAGAGCUUGGAAUUUAUUGAGGUUCUUUACUCAAGUCUGACUUUAGGUCUGCUAAUGAUCUGUGACAGGAAAUACUAGGGGCUCACCCAAAUCCACGUUCUCCUCUUCAUUCUGGGCACACAGCUAGACUGUGUUUCCCUGCCUCCCUUUUAGUUAGGUGUGGUCAUGUGCCUGAAUUUUAUCUGAAGCUGAUAUGUCCUCUUUCCAGGCUUGGUCCAUCUAAAUUUCCCACAAGUUCCUUUCUCUUUUCUCCUUCUGGCUUGUUAGAAUGAGUUGACUCCCAGGGCAAACUUAGAAGCCACCUGUUGAAUACGGCAGCACCUCCAUCAGCUUGGGCUCCCUGAAUGACUAUUUGGCCAACCUGCUCACUUGCUCAGUCCUGUUUCAUGAGCAAGAAAUAGACUUCUAUUGAGUUUGAGCCAUUAUACAUUUGGCGGCUUAUUUGCUAUAGCAGUUAACUUAUCCUAACUAUAACUUGCUCUUUUCCUACACUUUCAGUCACAAUAUAUAUUUUAACAGGGCUGUGAGUGCUGCUGACACAGGGCCAGUACUCCUUUAAACAACUGGUAUAACUCUUAAUCCUCAUGCAUCCUUUUCUCUGGGAAUCUGAGGUCUAGGUUAUUGUCCAGUGAUGCUAAAGCAGUUCUUUCUCAGAAUGUAUGGCAUUUCCAUCCCACCAAAUCACUUUGAGGAAACUUCUCUUCUUGAAAACAGUCAGGACAAUUCAGUUGUUCAACCACUCAUUCAUUUCACCAUUUGAUGAGUAAAUUAUCCAUUCACUUGAUUAUCUAUUCAAAAAAAUAUUCAAGGCUUGGAAGGCAGUUUACAAGAUUAAUAAGAUACAACAAAGCAGCCUAUGAAAACCAAACUGGGAGUGAAAGAAGAAAGAAAAACAAGGGUAGAAUCAACAAAAUGGAGCCAGAAAUAUUAGCUAACAUACAUAAGGGCUUGUCUCGUUAGCCCCUGCCCUCUCUGACAUCUUACUCCUGAAGCUGCUUCUGGCUGCUUCCUCUCACCUCCUUCUUCGUAAAUCCUAAUUUCUUGGGAGACCAUUUCUUUAAACAUAUUCUGAUGGCCCCAAGUUUCCAUCUCUUCCUAUGGGAUCCUUGGUGGCACGAUUUCAGUCAGGCCGCUGGACAGUAUGGUUUGGGAAGCCUUAACUUGGGAAGUCAUUUUUCUUAUGACUCAUGGGGCUGAGUAUUUUUUCAUAAACUACAGUUAUUUUCCAUUUAUACUUUUUUUAAAGAUUUUUUUGAUGUGGAUGAUUUUUUAAGUCUUUAUUGAAUUUGUUACAAUAUUGCUUCUGUUUUAUGUUUUGGUUUUUUUGGCCGUGGGGCAUGUGGGGUCUUAGCUCCCCGACCAGGGAUUGAACCCGCACCCCCUGCAUUGGAAGGCGAAGUCUUAACCACUGGACUGCCAGGGAAGUCCCUCCAUUUACACUUCUCAUCUUAUCCAAAGAAACUCUAAAAUGAUUAGAAUAAAUGAAUAAAAGUGAUUACCUGUUGGAGUGGUGAUGGGAACUGGGAGUCCAAGGGCCCUGUAAACAUUCAUCCUUCAUUCAGCAAACAUUCAUGGGCCAUCUACUGCUUUCCAAGUACUAUUCCCUUUGCCAGGAAGUAUGGAGAUGAUAUUCCAGAAGGACACAUCCCUGGGAGCUUCUCUGUACCCAUUCAAUGAUAACUUACCUAAAGAAACUUUGGCUGAGACUAAAAUGUCUUAGGAGAGUUGUGAAAAAUAAAGAUACAGAGUUUUUUCUUUGAUACGCAUUUCAACAUGGAAUCUAUUUGAAGAUGCGUUCCCAUUUCUCUGUGGUAAGAUAUACAACAAAGGAACACAGGGUGUUUUUGGAGAACUUGCCUGUUUCCUGUUGUUGAAAUAAAGUCUUAUAUGAAAUAAAAGCACUAUUCAAGUUUGAGAUUAUUGGUGACAAAGACUGUGUUAUCUGUGACAGAGAAAAUAUGCAAUUUCCCCCCUCAGGCAUGAUGUACAUUUAUUAGAGUGUUUAUCAAAUAAUUUGGUUUUGCAAUACAUUAUCAGAAAUUAGUGAGGUUGGUUAUGGACUUAAUUAUGCUUUUCUAAAAAAUGAUUUUAGUCUGCUCUCAAACAUUUUGAAGUGGACCUUUCUUAUACUCACCAAAUUGUAUGAAAGCACAUUGCCCUCAUCGCAUAAGGGUCACAGGUGGAACGUAGCAAGGCUGAAAUGAAGGGUAAUGGAAAAAUCCAGUACUUGUGUUUGCUACUUAAA